CCCCUUCCAGAGCCGGGCGGGUGGGGGCACCCUCAGGGCACUAUAGUGCCAGGAAAACGAGUAUGUUUUCCUGGCACUAUAGUGGUCCUUUAAGGACACAUGACAUGUGUGACAUGUCAUGAUUCCCUUUUAUUCCAGAAGUUUGGUCCUUAAGGGGUUAAUCUCUUUUCUUCCAGUGACCUCGUGUCCUAUGUAUAGCCCGGUUUAUGAAUAGAUUUCCAGAUAAAGGUUUGUACUGGCCCCGAUUAUAUUUGUAUAAUGUUAUCAUAUCCCCUCUGAGGCACCGUUUUUCCAAACUAAAGGAGGUUUAAAUUUUUUAACCUUUCUUCACAACUAAAAUGCUCCAUUCCUUUUAUCAAUUUGUAGCUCGUCUCUGCACUUUUCCUAGUGCCAUGAUAUCUUUCUUUAGAACAGGUGCCCAGAAUUGCACAGCAUAUUCAAGGUGUGGUCUUACCAGCGAUUUAUAAAGAGGCAAAUGAUAUUCUCAUCCCGAGAAUGAAUGCCCCUUUCAUGCAUGACAAACCUUACUGGCCUUAGCCACUGCAGAUUGACAUUGCAUAUGAAAGAAAAAAAAUCGGAUUAAUUUUCCUACUACCCUGACCAGCCAAUGCACUGGGAGCAGGGGCAGGAAAAAAUUAGGUCAGGACGGUGGUAUCAGCUCCACCUCAAUGUGGGCUUGUACCCAGAGAUAAUAUAUGAAUAACAGAAAAGACUAAAUAGAGAGGGCUCCCUCAAGGAGGUCCCUCAAAUAGCUGAUAUGAAUAAUGGAUACACC